rnacentral:rRNA from 1 species
UAGGGAAUCUUCCGCAAUGGACGCAAGUCUGACGGAGCAACGCCGCGUGAGUGAAGAAGGAUUUCGGUUCGUAAAACUCUGUUGUUAGAGAAGAACAGCGCAUAGAGUAACUGUUAUGCGUGUGACGGUAUCUAACCAGAAAGCCACGGCUAACUACGUGCCAGCAGCCGCGGUAAUACGUAGGUGGCAAGCGUUGUCCGGAUUUAUUGGGCGUAAAGCGAGCGCAGGCGGUCAAUUAAGUCUGAUGUGAAAGCCCCCGGCUCAACCGGGGAGGGUCAUUGGAAACUGGUUGACUUGAGUGCAGAAGAGGAGAGUGGAAUUCCAUGUGUAGCGGUGAAAUGCGUAGAUAUAUGGAGGAACACCAGUGGCGAAGGCGACUCGCUGGUCUGUAACUGACGCUGAGGCUCGAAAGCGUGGGGAGCGAACAGG